rnacentral:hammerhead_ribozyme from 1 species
GAACUGCUGAGGAGUUCCACAAUAGGACGAAACGGCCGUCCAGUGU